CCUACGGGAGGCAGCAGUGAGGAAUAUUGGUCAAUGGACGAGAGUCUGAACCAGCCAAGUAGCGUGAAGGAUGACUGCCCUAUGGGUUGUAAACUUCUUUUAUAUGGGAAUAAAAUGUUCCACGUGUGGGAUUUUGUAUGUACCAUAUGAAUAAGGAUCGGCUAACUCCGUGCCAGCAGCCGCGGUAAUACGGAGGAUCCGAGCGUUAUCCGGAUUUAUUGGGUUUAAAGGGAGCGUAGGUGGAUUGUUAAGUCAGUUGUGAAAGUUUGCGGCUCAACCGUAAAAUUGCAGUUGAAACUGGCAGUCUUGAGUACAGUAGAGGUGGGCGGAAUUCGUGGUGUAGCGGUGAAAUGCUUAGAUAUCACGAAGAACUCCGAUUGCGAAGGCAGCUCACUGGACUGCAACUGACACUGAGGCUCGAAGGCGUGGGGAGCAAACAGGAUUAGAUACCCUUGUAGUC
rnacentral:rRNA from 1 species